CUUUGCAGAAAUAUCUACAAUCUGAUUUAUAUAAACUACAAAUCAUGUCAUCUUGUGAUAUUUCCUGAACAUAGUUUAUGCUUGUCUUGUAAUAGAAAGGAAAUACAAACCGCAGUUUGCUGAUUUCAUUCUGGUUUCCUUUCUAGUAGUGCAUAAACAAAUGACUUAUUUAGAAGACGGACAAUACAGGAACAAAAUCCAACAUUUUGUCGCAUCAAAAGCAGACUUAUUAUUCAAACUAAAAGGAAAGGAACGACUGAGAAGUGGAAUUGACUACAAUGUGGACAGAGCUCAGGAGGUUUACAGUAUUUUUGCAUUUCCCCUCCCUCCACUGGAGAGUGGAAUGCAAAUAUCAGUUGUGGAAAGAAGAGCUCAGAUUUUUGAGCUAUUAAAAAUUGGUGAUAUUGUUGUUGGAAAAGUUGUUGGAAAACGCCCCUUUGGUGUUUUUGUGAAGGAUCCUUUCUCUGGUU